NNNNNNNNNNNNNNNNNNNNNNNNNNNNNNNNNNNNNNNNNNNNNNNNNNNNNNNNNNNNNNNNNNNNNNNNNNNNNNNNNNNNNNNNNNNNNNNNNNNNNNNNNNNNNNNNNNNNNNNNUGCUGGGAUUACAGGCAUGAGCCACCGCGCCCGACCUCCUUAACUCUUUUAUUUCCUUGCACACUUUUUCUCUGUAGCCCAGCUCACAACUUCACAACUUAACAUCCUCUUAGACAUACACCUGAGGUUUUUUUUUUUGUUGUUUGUUUGUUUUUUGAGAGGGAGUCUCUCUCUGUCACCCAGGAUGGAAUGCAGUGGUGUGCUCUCAGCUCACUGCAACCUUGCAAUCUCUGCCUCCCAGGUUCAAGCAACUCUCCUGCCUCAGCCUCCCGAGUAGCUGGGACUACAGACACAUGCCGCCACACCUGGCUAAUUUUUUGUUUUUUAGUAGAGACAGGGUUUCACCGUGUUGCCCAGGCUGGUCUCAAACUCCUGAGUUCAGACAAUCCGCCUGCCUUAGCCUUCCAAAGUGCUGGGAUUACAGGCAUGAGGCACCGCGUCCUGCCUCUGAGUAUUUUUUUUUUUUUUACUGUCUCCUAGAACAUCAGCCCCAGUAGAGCAGGGAUCUUUGUUCUGUUCACCACUGAGGGUCCUCAUUGGGUCCUAGCACACACAGUUGCUCAAUAAAUGUUGAAUAAGUGGGUAAUGACAGCCACGAGCUUGCAGAUAUGUGUUCAAGGUGUGUCCUUGCAGAGAGCUUCUCUAUACUUGGCACUGGAGAGGCCUGUCGUGGGCAAGGACAUAGAUGUGGCGACCUCAGACUUGAGAACUCCUGGGGCAGUAGGGGAGAUGGAUGUGGAUAAUGUAACCAUAAGCCUUCCUUUCUAUUUUAGACUGAGUGGUCAAGGAAGGCUUCCAGACAAUGGAAAUUCUGAUAGGUUCUAAGAGGGAGACCAGCAAGGAGCUGAACCGGAGGCUGACACAGGGUGAGAGUGGGAAUGUCUAUUUUAUUUUUUUUUUGGAGACAGGGUCUCACUCUGUUGCUCAGGCAGCAGUGCAGUGGCACGAUCGUGGCUCACUGCAGCUUCAACUUCCCAGACUCAAGUGAUCCUCUCACCUCAGCCUCCCAAGCAGCUGGGAAUAUAGGUGCAUGCCACCACAUCUGGCUAAUUUUUGUAUUUUUGGUAGAAACGGGGUUUCACCAUGUUGCCCAGGCUGGUCUUGAACUCCUGGGUUCAAGUGAUCUUGCUGCCUUGGGCUCCCAAAGUGCUUGGAUUACAGGUGUGAGCCUGUGAGCCACAUCUGGCCUAUUUUAUUUUUUAAUUAGUUUUUUGUUUUUGUUUUUGUUUUGAGAUGGAGUCUCUGUCUCCAAGGCUGGAGUGCAGUGGCACGAUCUCNNNNNNNNNUAACCUCCACCUCCCAAGUAGCUGGGAUUACAGGCACAUGCCACCACGCCUGGCUAAUUUUUGUAUCUUUAGUAGAGACAGGGUUUCCCCAUGUUGGCCAGGCUGGUCUCGAACUCCUGACCUCCGGUGAUCCACCUGCCUCAGUUUCCCAAAGUGCUGGGAUUACAGGAAUGAGCCACUGUGCCUGGCUGGGCAUGUGUCUUGUUUUUUUCAUUCUGUAGAUAACAAGCAAUUGUGCUCCCUCAGCCUCCCAAGUAGCUGGUACUACAGGCGCCUGCCACUACGCCCGGCUAUUUUUUGUAGUUUUAGCAGAGGUGGAGUUUCACCAUGUUAACCAGUCUCUAACUCCUGACCUCAGGUGAUCCUCCUGCCUUGGCCUCCCAAAGUGCUGGAAUUACAGGUGUGAGCCAUCAAGUCCAGCCUCAAACUCCUGAGUUUAAGUGAUCCUCACACCUCAGCCUCCCUGAGUGCUGGGAUUACAGGUGUGAGCCACCACACCUGGCCUGAGUCGGGGGAGGUGUCUAUUUUAGUCUGAGUGGUCAAUCACGCCCACAGCAAGGACCAUGCCCACCCUACCCAUCUUUUUAUUUAUUUUUUUCCCCAAGUCUCCCUCUAUUACCCAGGCUGGAGUACAGUGGUACGAUCACGGUUCACUGCAGUCUUGACCUCCAGGGCUCAAGUGAUCCUCCCACCUCAGUGUCCUGAGUAGCUGGCACUACAGGCACGCACCACCACCCCUGGCUCAUUUUUUGAUUUUUUGGUAGAGACGGGGUUUCACUGUGUUACCCAGGCUGGUCUCAAACUCCCGGGCUCAAGCGAUCCUCCCACCUCUGCCUUCUGAAGUGUUGGGAUUACAGGUGUGAGCCACCAUGCCCAGCCCGCCACCAGUCUUGACUCUCCAUCCUCCCUCCCUCCCUGUGAGUGCUGGUGGCCUGUGUGUCCCGCCUGCUGAAAGAUGCCUCUGACUUGGGGCUUUUGACUUCAGGCCUGGGAGACACAUUUUGGCUGGAUUAGGGAGAUCUUAAAAGGGGGUAGGGGACACAGCAGGGGCUAAGGAGAGUGACACACUGCAGGCAGGGGUUGGGUGACAGAUGAAGGAUCCACUGGUAUAUGCUGCCAGUGUGUGCCAUCUACUUGUGUGUUUUACAUGUGCCUUGUGCGUGUGUCCUGUGUGGGCUGUAUCUGUGUGUGACUCAGCUACGUGUCAGCAUAUCCCUGUCGACGUGUGUCUCUGCUGAUGUGUCUGUCAGCAUGCACGGCUGUCUUGCAUGUGUCUUUUUUGAGAUAGAGUCUUGCUCUGUCACCCAGGCUGGAGUGCAGUGGCACGA
rnacentral:lncRNA from 1 species